rnacentral:misc_RNA from 1 species
GAUGAAGAACGCAGUGAAAUGCGAUAAGUAAUGUGAAUUGCAGAAUUCCGUGAAUCAUCGAGUCUUUGAACGCACAUUGCGCCUCAUGGCAUUCCGUGAGGCAUGCCCAUCUCAGCGUUAGAAAAUAUUCUCAAAUUUUAGUUUUGUGCUAAAAUUUGGAUCAUGUCAAGGAAGCUAUUACUAUUAUUGUGAUCGCUCUUUGGAAAUUGAUAGGUCUUUGAGUUGCUACUCAUAGAACGUGAUGAAUCUUUCUUCGUUCUAUUGUAAUUCACUCUGGUAGUCCUAAAACUUGUAUGCCUGUGGCAUAUCUUGUAAUUUGACCUGAGAUUGGGUAGGGAUACCCGCUGAACUUAAGCAUAUCAAUAAGCGGAGGA